CAGAGGGGGAAGAACCAGGUAUGUGUGCUGGGUUGUUUAUAUGAGAAUGUGCAGGGAAGAACUGUCUAGAACAGUUACAAACCUGGACACAACCUCAUGCCUCUCAGAAUGAGACUGGCUAAAUAAACUAUGUGCACAGGGCAGGCUCUUUCUGUUGCCUGUUUCUGCAUACCAGUCCUCCUGUAAUCGAGUGGUUUAAGAUAGGGAUGACUUGUUAGUUUCCCAUAAUUCUGUGGCUUGACCAGGUUGGCCACUGCUGCUGUCACCUGCAUGCAGUCUUUUGUCUAUUCGGCUUCUUCUAAUCAUCUAACACCUUACGCACCAGACAGCCAGGGAUGGCUGGCCCACUGUUCAGUGGCCUCAAGAUUGCCUUAGUGUGACAGGAGAAAUUAGGAGGCCUUUUGGGAAAUGUCCCAAAAGUCACAUGACAUCACUCUGCCCCUGUUGAUUGGUCCAACCAUGAACCAAGGCCAUCCCAGACCGUCUUGAUGUGAGGAAGUAUGAGCAAUCGGUGGCUGUUUUUUCUGUGGAGGACAUAAUAUUCAAGCAACACCAAGCUCAGCAUUCUAAAUUCUGCAGCUCAGGAGCAUGUGGCCCAACCAAAGCGUUGAGUCACUGUCACUACUGCAUAGUUCCAGAAUAUUCUGACACUCGUUCUUGCCCCCAGUGUCUAGGAAGAAUUGGUUUUUCCUUUGCCUCUGGAUUUGCCUGUUCUGGAUACUUCACGUGAAUGGUAACACACAACAAGCGACCAUUUGUGACCGGCCCUUUUCACUGUGCAUGUUGUCAAGGUUUGUCCAUAUUGUAGCUUGGGUCAGAACUUCCUGCAUUUUUAUGGCUCAGUGCUAGUCCAUUAUCUGCAGAGGCCACAUUUUUAAAAUCUGCUCCUCUGCUUGGUCACACGUGGGUCAUUUUCACUUUUGGCUGCUGUGAAUGGUACUUCUAUGAGUGUUCAUGACAUGUUUUCAAUUUGCUGCAUCUAUACCUAGGAGUCGAAUUGCUGGGUCUUAUGCUAAUUCUAUGUUUAGCUUUUUGAGCAACCAUUGAGCUAUUUUUCUUUGUGGCCAUUUUUAGUCCCCUAGGCUACCCAACAGCUGCCAAUGGUAAUGGCCUUCUGUGCUGAAGUGGAGUUAGGAAUUAAGACAAGUUACAAAAUGCUGUGUUGCUUCUGUGUGUUACAGAAUUUCUUUUCUUAAAAAAAAAAAAAGACAAAACAAAACAAAAAAACAGUGGUUGGAAGCAAACGUGUUUAUUUUUCUGCCACAGGCCAGGCUGAGCUUGCUGUGAUGUUCCCUGAGUUUCUCUGACGGCAGCUCCUUGCAGCACCCUCAGCUGCGUCCCAGGCCGGCCCUCAGCCUUGCAGUUUGAGCAGGCAGCCUCUGCUUUCUGGAUUGCGGGAGGCGGGAAGGGGAACGAGGGAAAGGCCGUGAGUGCACCUGCCGUCUCCUGAGGCACAUUCUUAGAAGCUGUCACAUAGAGUACCCACUCAUGUUCUGUUGGCCAGAACGCAGGCAUCAGCGCAAGAAAUACUGAGAAAUGGCCCGUUUAUCCUGGGGCUGUGUAGAAGCUCCAGUGAGAAGGAAGAGGCCAGAGAGGAAGGAGAAGCUCCAGAGAGACUCCCGGAAGAGCUGGGGAUAUUCUGAGACAUGACGUCUUUGGGAAUGCUCCAGGACUCUGCUGUGAUGCCUUCAGAUCCCCCAUGCUCAAAGGCAGUGCUCUCAAAACUGCACAUCUGCUCACCAAGUGAUUUCAGGCAAGAAUAAAUGGUUCCACCUCACGAAAACUUCAGAAUGUGUACGUGGUCCAUCUGAAUGAACAUCACUGGGAGCAGUUACCCUUUGGCACAGUCCUGUUAGGAUGACUUGUGAGUUGGAACAGGAAAUAUGGACAAGGAGUUACCUGGAGUCUUCGUCACCUGAAGAGCUACUCACCUGAGAGAUCACUUCCUGGCAUUGCCCAAUAACCUGUGCUGAUCAUGAUGACACUGGGGCAAAGGCAUGCAGCAUCUGUUAUUCUCCAAGCAGCAAGAGCAGAGUGUGUGCACAUCAAAAAGUGAAAACACAUCUGAAUUCGGUUUGCACAGUGUUUCC